rnacentral:rRNA from 1 species
AUUGAACGCUGGCGGCAUGCUUUACACAUGCAAGUCGAACGGUAACAGGCCGCAAGGUGCUGACGAGUGGCGAACGGGUGAGUAAUGCAUCGGAACGUGCCCAGUCGUGGGGGAUAACUGCUCGAAAGAGCAGCUAAUACCGCAUACGAUCUAUGGAUGAAAGCGGGGGACCGUAAGGCCUCGCGCGAUUGGAGCGGCCGAUGUCAGAUUAGGUAGUUGGUGGGGUAAAGGCCCACCAAGCCAACGAUCUGUAGCUGGUCUGAGAGGACGACCAGCCACACUGGGACUGAGACACGGCCCAGACUCCUACGGGAGGCGGCAGUGGGGAAUUUUGGACAAUGGGCGCAAGCCUGAUCCAGCAAUGCCGCGUGCAGGAUGAAGGCCUUCGGGUUGUAAACUGCUUUUGUACGGAACGAAAAGCCCUGGGUUAAUACCCUGGGGUCAUGACGGUACCGUAAGAAUAAGCACCGGCUAACUACGUGCCAGCCGCCGCCGUAAAAC